ensembl:snoRNA
GAGCACUGUUCGUGACCUUCUGGUCUGCCUGUGGCUGGUGGGUUCCAUUCCAGUGCCAUAGCAGCUCCAGCACCAUGUGACUGACUGCCUGGAGGCUCUCGGUUUAAGGUCUUGGAGACAAAG